UGCCAGCCGCCGCGGUAACACGUACUGUGCGAACGUUAUUCGGAAUCACUGGGCUUAAAGGGUGCGUAGGCGGUCAAAUAAGUAGGAUGUGAAAUCCCCCGGCUCAACCGGGGAACUGCGCUCUAAACUGGAUGGCUUGAGUAAGAUAGGGGUGUGCGGAACUUCCGGUGGAGCGGUGAAAUGUGUUGAUAUCGGAAGGAACACCAGUAGCGAAAGCGGCACACUGGGCCGUAACUGACACUCAGGGACGAAAGCUAGGGGAGCGAAUGGGAUUAGAUA
rnacentral:rRNA from 1 species